GUGAUGGAGGAGGAAGUUGCUCUGCCACCAUCCGAGUUUGCUGUUGCAGUUGCCUAUACCGCUGCCGUAGCUUCUUCGUUCUGUUAUUACUUUCUAAUUGUUAUGCCCUCGGCGCUGCCACUAGAAGGUCAUCGGGGUUAGUUAGAGCUGCCGUUCUGAUUCUGCCGCAGCUUGUCCGGAUUCCUGCUCGUUCCUGUUCUCUGUUCAGCCUUCGCCAGAGCACUGUCAUCAGAGAAACACUACUGAAACCGGGCCAGAUUCACUGGUAAUGCUACUUAUUGUGGUUGCUGCUGUUCUGAUCUCUGUGGGUUUCGACAUUGAGGUUCGAAGACUCAGU